UAUAUAUGACUAGAUCGCCUUAAAGUCGCCAAAUCGUGUAAAAAAUUUCCACGGAAAGUCGACUUGAGUGGAAAGUCGACAAAAUUGAGUCGACCUAACGUUUUUCAUCUUAGUUUCAUCAAAUUCAGUCUUACCUAUAAGUUUUUUUUUUCUAUUUCAAUGAAAUAUAGUAGUUUUUGAUUAAAAUUACAAAUUUGUUUUUUUUAAACUGCCGUCGAUGAGUAUUUUUUUAAAUAUCUCAUUUUAAGCUUAUAUAUGUAAACAAAUUUAAAAUAUCGACGUAAGGUCGACGGCACUUAAUAUCUUGAAAAUUAUGAAGUAUAACUGUAUAUAUCAUGCUGUUAUGGAGUUAAAAAUGUUUUCUCUGUCACUCAGUUAAAGUUUUGAGAGUUUAUUAACGGAUAUCAUUGCAAAUACAACAUAUAUAUGAAAUAUAGGAGAUAUACAGUUUUAUUUUAAGUCAUUUCCAUUUUUCUCGUAUUUCAAACGAAUUUCCUUACCAUGCGGAGUCGCUUUUCCCGGAAACUUGUUGUUUUUUAUGAAUGUUUUUGUUUUGAUUUCUUUAUUUUGAAAAUUUUGUAUGUUUAUAUUGUUUGUUUAUAUUGUAGCUGAACCUUUUUAUUUUUUUACACUAACUUUAAGAAUCUUAUUUUAAAUCUUUUUUCUAUUUUUCUAAAUAUUUAAGUGCUUUUAUGAAAAAAAAUAUUAUUGCUAUAUAGUAAACUAGACAACCUAUUAGAAGUCUAAUAUCCUACUAGUGUAUUUGACUUCUAAUAUGCGUUCAGAUUAGUACUGCUAGUAUUACUAGCAGUAUUAAUCUUUAUGGUACAGGUAUUAUAGUUUAGGCAGGAAUAACUAUAAAGAGUUUUUGACUGUUAACAGUCUUAAACUCUAUAAAGUUGUUCCUGCCUAAACUAUAACGCCUGUAUCAUACAGAAUAAUACUAUCUAUAACUAAUGUCUAAUAACUAAUAAUUACUAGUAAUAUACAAGUGUCUUAUAAUUAGUUAUUAGACACAUUAGUAAAGUAAUUAGAUCUAUAUAUUAUAAGAUAGUUAUUAUUACUUAUUUAACAGUUGACAAGAUAGUUUUGUUCGCCAUAUUGUAGUGGAUAAAACACUCUUAUAUUUGUGAUCUACAAUGGUUUAGUUAGGAGAAUGCAUGACUACUGGUAUAGAAUAGAAUACAAGAUAGAAAACAAGACUAAAUAGAAAGCAAGACUAACUAGGAAAUAGGAAAUAACGCAUUCACCUUCCUCUAAUAAAUUAAGAAACUAUGAUUGUAUCAAGUUAACUAUAUUUUAUGGUAGGCAAGUUGGCAUACCUGCAAGACUUACAAGUAAAGAACAUAAAAAUGCCUUGAACAAUAUAUGAUUAAAUGAACAAAGAAUAAAAAAUGCAUUAUCUGAAAAUCAAUUAGAAUGUAGAAUGAAGAUUAAUUAUCAGUCUGGAAGUGGGUUUAGUUGUUCCUCUCCUGUCUUAAUUCCUAGAGAUACAAUUAAAAAAAAGUUGUUAGGUUUGGCUGAUAUUAGUAGUCAGGUUGGAGUUUCAGCAAAAACGCUAUUUAUUCUAGAACACAAUUUUUACAAAAAUUCUGUUUUGAAUAAAAUAUUCUAAAAAUAUAAUAAGGCAACUUAACGUGAUCUUGUACAAAUAAUUGCCAUCGCCUUGCUACACUAAUAGCUGAUUAUACGGUUUCGGAUGCUGAAAUGACUAUCAAACUUUAGCAGCUUACUAUCUUUUUUACAGGGAAAGUGUCUUGGAGCUUUUUAUCAAAACUCCUGUAUAUAUAUAAAGAUAUUUUGAUUUGUUUGAAUAGUUUUUAAAGUAGCUAUUUUUAUUUUUUUAAUGAUUGAUUUUUGCAAAAAAUAUUGUUAUGAGAAAAACAAAAGAACACAAUAAAAUUUACUAAAGUUUUUUUAACAAGAUGUAAAGCAAGACUUUUAAAAGCAAUUAAAGUUAAGAGUAGCACUGCAAGCAGUUUAAAUGAAUUAGGGAUUAAAUUGAAAGUUUUCUUCAAUAGCAGCUAAAAUGGUGGUGCAAAGUGGGCUGUGCCUUCAAUACAAGAGUAGAAAAAAAUAGCCUACAUAAUAAUCAAAUAGCUUAUUUAUUUUAUUUUACCUUAUUAAUAAACUUAAAUUGGCUCCUCCACUUCAAAUAUAGUUCCUCUAAUAUAGUGAAUAAUACUUAUAUAUGCACUGUAAGCAAAUACUUAAAUAGUUAUUUUGUGUAUAACUAUGGAGCAAAUUUUGACAAUUCAACUUUUAAUAAAUGUGUUUUUAUUUUUUUCAAUUUUCAUUUUAUUGUAUCAAGAGUAUGUGUAGACAUGAGGGCAAGGAGAUGGGUAAAAUUUAAGAGCAUUUGAGAAAGUUCUACAUAUAUGAAAACUUUUGAGUCUUGUGAGUAGCUAUAAAAGUUCUAUAAAUCUUAUUUAAGUCGUAGGUAUAAUCAAAAGGAUAAUAUAAGUGAGAGAGUGUUUUUUAUAAAGAUUUCUGAAGUAUGUUAGUUUAAUCACAGGGUAUCACUUAAUGCAUUUACUUGGAUACCCUGAUUAGGUAUAAUAAUAUUGUAUUAAAAAGAUUUAUCUUUUUAAUACAAUAUUGUGGUUAAUUUUUAUCAAAUAAGAUGGAAUAAAACAAAAAUUAAGGGUAAAUGUUAAAAUAAUCCAUAAACUUUUUUUAAUUUAUAUCACUUGUCACAAGGUGCUGAUUUAUUCUUAUUUUACUUUUGAUUUGAGUAGAUAACUUUGUAUCUUUAUUUCAAAUUACAGCACAUAUCUUUUCUAUUUCAGGUCGACAAGAUAUUAUUAAGUUUGGAUUAAAAUACAGAUCUAGCCCAGACACUGUUGAAAACAAAAUCAUUAACGAAAUAGCAUAAAAGAUGCGAACCUUUUCCGAAGUUCUAACGACAUUAAAACUUAUUUUUUUAAAGUUAAUUUAAAACAGUUCCGAAUAAAAUUUAUACUUUGAA